AGGCUCGUAGCUCAGUUGGUUAGAGCACCACCUGACAUGGUGGGGUCGUGGUUCGAAUCCAAUCGAGCCUACCA
rnacentral:tRNA from 1 species